GAAAUAAGCCAUCUUAUCGCUUCCCGGCAACGGGGGGAGGAAAGUCCGGACAGCGAAGAGCAUCAUGCUACCUAACGGGUAGGGACAGCGUUGGCGACGAUACUGUUACAGCCAGUGCCACAGAAAAUAUACCGCCGUGAGCAAUCAGGGUAAGGGUGAAAUGGUGGGGUAAGAGCCCACCGGUUUGCCAGCAAUGGCAGAUGCAGGGUAAACCUCAUGAGCUGAAAGACCAAAUAUACCGGCGUUUAAGGGUUGCUCGCCCCAGCCGGAGGGUAGGUUGAUAGAGGUACCGGGCGACCGGUAUCCCAGAUAAAUGAUAAGUGAAAUACAGAAUUCGGCUUAUAGGCUUAUUUCUAUU
rnacentral:RNase_P_RNA from 1 species